rnacentral:rRNA from 1 species
AACGAACGCUGGCGGCAUGCCUAACACAUGCAAGUCGAACGAGACCUUCGGGUCUAGUGGCGCACGGGUGCGUAACGCGUGGGAACCUGCCCUUAGGUUCGGAAUAACUCCCCGAAAGGGGUGCUAAUACCGGAUAAUGUCUUCGGACCAAAGAUUUAUCGCCAUUGGAUGGGCCCGCGUUGGAUUAGCUAGUUGGUAAGGUAAAAGCCUACCAAGGCGACGAUCCAUAGCUGGUCUGAGAGGAUGAUCAGCCACACUGGGACUGAGACACGGCCCAGACUCCUACGGGAGGCAGCAGUGGGGAAUAUUGGACGAUGGGCGAAGGCCUGAUCCAGCAGUGCCGCGUAAGUGAUGAAGGCCUUAGGGUUGUAAAGCUCUUUUACCCGGGAUGAUAAUGACAGUACCGGGAGAAUAAGCACCGGCUAACUACGUG